GCCGAGGUCUCUGAUGCUAGGCCUUCCCCAGCUGCACAUCCUUAGAAGCACUUCAGAGUAAGUAUGAUUUUGUUUUACUCACUGGAAUAUUUUUAGGUCUCUGAGAAAAUACUACAAAACACUG
rnacentral:snoRNA from 1 species